rnacentral:rRNA from 1 species
GGGAAUAUUGGACAAUGGGCGCAAGCCUGAUCCAGCCAUGCCGCGUGGGUGAUGAAGGCCCUAGGGUUGUAAAGCCCUUUCGGCGGGGAAGAUAAUGACGGUACCCGCAGAAGAAGCCCCGGCUAACUUCGUGCCAGCAGCCGCGGUAAUACGAAGGGGGCUAGCGUUGCUCGGAAUCACUGGGCGUAAAGCGCACGUAGGCGGACUCUUAAGUCGGGGGUGAAAUCCUGGAGCUCAACUCCAGAACUGCCUUCGAUACUGAGAGUCUUCGAGUUCGGGAGAGGUGAGUGGAACUGCGAGUGUAGAGGUGAAAUUCGUAGAUAUUCGCAAGAACACCAGUGGCGAAGGCGGCUCACUGGCCCGAUACUGACGCUGAGGAGCGAAAGCUAGGGGAGCAAA